rnacentral:rRNA from 1 species
GACGAACGCUGGCGGCGCGCCUAACACAUGCAAGUCGAACGGAGUUACUCUGAAUGAAGUUUUCGGAUGGAUUUUGGAUUAACUUAGUGGCGAACGGGUGAGUAACGCGUGAGUAACCUGCCCUGGAGUGGGGGACAACAGUUGGAAACGACUGCUAAUACCGCAUAAGCCCACAGUGCCGCAUGGCACAGCGGGAAAAGGAUUUAUUCGCUUCAGGAUGGACUCGCGUCCAAUUAGCUAGUUGGUGAGGUAACGGCCCACCAAGGCGACGAUUGGUAGCCGGACUGAGAGGUUGAACGGCCACAUUGGGACUGAGACACGGCCCAGACUCCUACGGGAGGCAGCAGUGGGGGAUAUUGCACAAUGGGGGAAACCCUGAUGCAGCGGCGCCGCGUGGGUGAAGAAGGGUCUUCGGGAUCGUAAAACUCUGUUGUUAGAGAAGAACACGAGUGAGAGUAACUGUUCAUUCGAUGACGGUAUCUAAACCAGCAAAGUCCCGG